AACGAACGCUGGCGGCAUGCCUAACACAUGCAAGUCGAACGAGACCUUCGGGUCUAGUGGCGCGCGGGUGCGUAACGCGUGGGAACCUGCCCUUAGGUUCGGAAUAACUCCCCGAAAGGGGUGCUAAUACCGGAUAAUGUCUUCGGACCAAAGAUUUAUCGCCUUUGGAUGGGCCCGCGUUGGAUUAGCUAGUUGGUAGGGUAAAAGCCUACCAAGGCGACGAUCCAUAGCUGGUCUGAGAGGAUGAUCAGCCACACUGGGACUGAGACACGGCCCAGACUCCUACGGGAGGCAGCAGUGGGGAAUAUUGGACGAUGGGCGAAAGCCUGAUCCAGCAAUGCCGCGUGAGUGAUGAAGGCCUUAGGGUUGUAAAGCUCUUUUACCCGGGAUGAUAAUGACAGUACCGGGAGAAUAAGCUCCGGCUAACUCCGUG
rnacentral:rRNA from 1 species